GUGAGGAAUAUUGCGCAAUGGAGGCAACUCUGACGCAGCCAUGCCGCGUGCAGGAAGAAGGCGCUACGCGUUGUAAACUGCUUUUAACCGGGAAGAAACCCCAGGACGUGUCCUGGGUUGACGGUACCGGAGGAAUAAGCACCGGCUAACUUCGUGCCAGCAGCCGCGGUAAUACGAAGGGUGCAAGCGUUAUCCGGAUUCAUUAGGUUUAAAGGGUGCGUAGGCGGAGCGUUAAGUCAGUGGUGAAAUCCUGCAGCUUAACUGUAGACUUGCCAUUGAUACUGGCGCUCUUGAGUGCGCUUGAAGUGGGCGGAAUGUGCCGUGUAGCGGUGAAAUGCUUAGAUAUGGCACAGAACACCAAUUGCGAAGGCAGCUCACUAAGGCGAUACUGACGCUGAGGCACGAAAGCGUGGGGAUCGAACAGGAUUAGAAACCCUAGUAGUCC
rnacentral:rRNA from 1 species